rnacentral:rRNA from 1 species
AUUGAACGCUGGCGGCAUGCUUUACACAUGCAAGUCGAACGGUAACAGGGUGCUUGCACCGCUGACGAGUGGCGAACGGGUGAGUAAUGCAUAGGAAUGUACCGUGUAAUGGGGGAUAGCUCGGCGAAAGCCGGAUUAAUACCGCAUACGCCCUGAGGGGGAAAGUGGGGGACCGAAAGGCCUCACGUUAUACGAGCAGCCGAUGUCUGAUUAGCUAGUUGGUGAGGUAAAGGCUCACCAAGGCGUCGAUCAGUAGCGGGUCUGAGAGGAUGAUCCGCCACACUGGGACUGAGACACGGCCCAGACUCCUACGGGAGGCAGCAGUGGGGAAUUUUGGACAAUGGGCGCAAGCCUGAUCCAGCCAUGCCGCGUGUCUGAAGAAGGCCUUCGGGUUGUAAAGGACUUUUGUCCGGGAGCAAAUCCUAGUGGUUAAUACCUACUGGGGCUGAGAGUACCGGAAGAAUAAGCACCGGCUAACUACGUG